rnacentral:rRNA from 1 species
AGAGUUUGAUCCUGGCUCAGGAUGAACGCUGGCGGCGUGCCUAACACAUGCAAGUCGAGCGAUUCUCUUCGGAGAAGAGCGGCGGACGGGUGAGUAACGCGUGGGUAACCUGCCCUGUACACACGGAUAACAUACCGAAAGGUAUGCUAAUACGAGAUAAUAUACUUUUAUCGCAUGGUAGAAGUAUCAAAGCUCCGGCGGUACAGGAUGGACCCGCGUCUGAUUAGCUAGUUGGUAAGGUAACGGCUUACCAAGGCGACGAUCAGUAGCCGACCUGAGAGGGUGAUCGGCCACAUUGGAACUGAGACACGGUCCAAACUCCUACGGGAGGCAGCAGUGGGGAAUAUUGCACAAUGGGCGAAAGCCUGAUGCAGCAACGCCGCGUGAGCGAUGAAGGCCUUCGGGUCGUAAAGCUCUGUCCUCAAGGAAGAUAAUGACGGUACUUGAGGAGGAAGCCCCGGCUAACUACGUGCCAGCAGCCGCGGUAAUACGUAGGGGGCUAGCGUUAUCCGGAAUUACUGGGCGUAAAGGGUGCGUAGGUGGUUUCUUAAGUCAGAGGUGAAAGGCUACGGCUCAACCGUAGUAAGCCUUUGAAACUGGGAGACUUGAGUGCAGGAGAGGAGAGUGGAAUUCCUAGUGUAGCGGUGAAAUGCGUAGAUAUUAGGAGGAACACCAGUUGCGAAGGCGGCUCUCUGGACUGUAACUGACACUGAGGCACGAAAGCGUGGGGAGCAAACAGGGUUAGAUACCCUGGUAGUCCACGCCGUAAACGAUGAGUACUAGCUGUCGGAGGUUACCCCCUUCGGUGGCGCAGCUAACGCAUUAAGUACUCCGCCUGGGAAGUACGCUCGCAAGAGUGAAACUCAAAGGAAUUGACGGGGACCCGCACAAGUAGCGGAGCAUGUGGUUUAAUUCGAAGCAACGCGAAGAACCUUACCUAAGCUUGACAUCCUUUUGACCGAUGCCUAAUCGCAUCUUUCCCUUCGGGGACAGAAGUGACAGGUGGUGCAUGGUUGUCGUCAGCUCGUGUCGUGAGAUGUUGGGUUAAGUCCCGCAACGAGCGCAACCCUUGCCUUUAGUUGCCAGCAUUAAGUUGGGCACUCUAGAGGGACUGCCAGGGAUAACCUGGAGGAAGGUGGGGAUGACGUCAAAUCAUCAUGCCCCUUAUGCUUAGGGCUACACACGUGCUACAAUGGGUGGUACAGAGGGCAGCCAAGUCGUGAGGCGGAGCUAAUCCCUUAAAGCCAUUCUCAGUUCGGAUUGUAGGCUGAAACUCGCCUACAUGAAGCUGGAGUUACUAGUAAUCGCAGAUCAGAAUGCUGCGGUGAAUGCGUUCCCGGGUCUUGUACACACCGCCCGUCACACCACGGGAGUUGGGGGCGCCCGAAGCCGGAUUGCUAACCUUUUGGAAGCGUCCGUCGAAGGUGAAAUCAAUAACUGGGGUGAAGUCGUAACAAGGUA